GCCUUUGUCAAUGAUUGUUUGUAGAUUUUCAACCAUGAAUUAUUUGAAAAUUGAAUUUCCUUGUUUCUUGAGCAGGAUUUGUAUUCUCCAGUCAUUACACUCAUCUCAAAUUUUGCUAGAAUUUUUUUAACAUUUUUCUUCACCAUAUUCUUCUUUGACCCACUUUAUUGUGAGAAAAAAAUAGAAGUAUCUUCUAGUGGAGUGUUUAAUUAAACAGAAGUUUGUGGGAGUAGGGAGUGUUUGUGACAAAGUCUCAAUGAUUUUGAAAUAUAUUUUUUAUUUGUUGAAUUCAUAUUACAUCAUUCUAAUACACAAACUUGGAAUAAUUGUUUAUCAAUCAAAAACUGCAAAAUCUCUUUGUCAUCAUUUAAUCAACGUAAAGUUAGAUACUCUCAAAAAAACCUCACACAAUUAUUUCUUUCUCUGUUGCAUAAAAACAUACAAUAUUUCUUGUACAAAUUCCAUGAAAUUCACUGCAGUGUGGAUUAGUCACUCCAUUAGAAGAAACAACAUUAGCGUUUCAUUAAUAUUGAUGUAUUGAAUACAUAUUUUUAAUUACUUGUAAAAUGUUGAAAUUCUAACAUCCCAAUUUAUAGUUUUAAGACAUUUAAAGACAUAUUUAUUUAUUUAUGAAAGUAUUGUAUAUACUAGUAAAUUGAAAAUAAGUGCCAAGUUCCACCCAGAUCAUAUUCUUGCUCACAUUUUGUUUUAUUCUAGAAUUUUUGUCUUUCGUGUUUUCAUUUCAGAUAGUUGUGUUCUAAAAUAUUUAAUCAUUUUCAAUACAUUUUCAUAGAAUAAAAUGGUGUGUGUAAUACACACUAUAUAUGUAGGUGCUGCACAGAAGAGUCUGGAACAUGUUUACUAUGUGAAAAUCAUUUGACAUAUUAAGGAUUAAAAUAUAUGACAAAACUUCAAAUUUUGGUUUUAGGUUACAAACAUAAAUCAGUUAAAUAUAUAGCUCUAGCUCCAAAUCAUUCACAUUAAUUUUUUUUGUACUGAAUAUUCUUUAUG
rnacentral:lncRNA from 1 species